GAAUCCUGAAGGUCAUGCACAGCAAUAGGGUGAUAUUGGAGGGAAAGAAUAUUAGAGGAGGAUAUUACAACCUAGCAAAGAGCACAGUAUGAGGUGGAGCUUCAGGAGCCAGAGGAGCCCACUGCAAGGUGGGCUCCAGAUAGAGGUGGAUCAGGCAUGAGAUGAAAAACUCGAGAGGAUGAGAGACGAUAUUAUAGAGUGAAGUUUCUAUUAUCGCAGGAGACUUCUCUGAGC
rnacentral:lncRNA from 1 species